AACGAACGCUGGCGGCAGGCCUAACACAUGCAAGUCGAACGCACCGCAAGGUGAGUGGCGCACGGGUGAGUAACACGUAGCUAAUCUGCCCUCAAGACAAGGAUAACUGUAGGAAACUACUGCUAAUACUUGAUAAGCUUACGGACUGUAGAGGUCUAUAAGAAAAGAUUUAUCGCUUGAGGAUGAGGCUGCGCGCCAUCAGCUAGUUGGUAAGGUAAUGGCUUACCAAGGCGACGACGGCUAGGGGACCUGAGAGGGUGACCCCCCCACACUGGGACUGAGACACGGCCCAGACUCCUACGGGAGGCAGCAGUGAGGAAUAUUGCUCAAUGGGCGCAAGCCUGAAGCAGCGACGCCGCGUGGAUGAAGAAGGUUUUCGGACUGUAAAAUCCUUUUCUGUGUGACGAGAGUGGACGGUAGCACAGGAAUAAGUCUCGGCUAACUACGUGCCAGCAGCCGCGGUAAU
rnacentral:rRNA from 1 species